UACAGAGGUCUCAAGCGUUGUUCGGAUUCAUUGGGCGUAAAGGGUGCGUAGGCGGCGCGGUAAGUCGGUGUGAAAUCGUCGGGCUUAACUCCGAACUGCAUUCGAUACUGCCGUGCUUGAGGACUGGAAAGGAGACUGGAAUUUACGGUGUAGCGGUGAAAUGCGUAGAUAUUGGGAGGAACACCAGUGGCGAAGGCGGCUCACUGGACCGGUACUGAC
rnacentral:rRNA from 1 species